CGGGGUGUAGCUCAGCUUGGUUAGAGCGCUACGUUCGGGACGUAGAGGCCGCUGGUUCGAAUCCAGUCACCCCGA
rnacentral:tRNA from 1 species